rnacentral:rRNA from 1 species
UUCGCAAUGCCCGAAAGGGUGACGAAGCGACGCCGCGUGUGGGAAGAAGGCCUUCGGGUUGUAAACCACUGUCGGGAGUUAAGAAAUGCAAGGAUAUGAAUAGUGUCUUUGCUUGACUAAGGCUCCGGAGGAGGCCACGGCUAACUCUGUGCCAGCAGCCGCGGUAAUACAGAGGCGGCAAGCGUUGUUCGGAAUUACUGGGCGUAAAGAGCACGUAGGCGGCUAUGUAAGUCGGUUGUGAAAGCCUUCCGCUCAACGGGAGAACAGCAUCCGAUACUACAUGGCUUGAGUGCGGGAGGGGAGAGUGGAACUUCUGGUGGAGCGGUGAAAUGCGUAGAUAUCAGAAGGAACGCCGGCGGCGAAAGCGGCUCUCUGGCCCAUAACUGACGCUGAGUGUGCGAAAGCUAGGGGAGCAAACGGGACUAGAUACCCCGGUAGUCCUAGCCGUAAACGAUGGGCACUAAGUAGAGGGGUUUU